rnacentral:rRNA from 1 species
UACGUAGGGUGCGAGCGUUGUCCGGAAUUAUUGGGCGUAAAGAGCUUGUAGGCGGUUUGUCGCGUCUGCCGUGAAAGCCCAGGGCUUAACCCUGGGUCUGCGGUGGGUACGGGCAGACUAGAGUGUGGUAGGGGAGACUGGAAUUCCUGGUGUAGCGGUGAAAUGCGCAGAUAUCAGGAGGAACACCGAUGGCGAAGGCAGGUAUCUGGGCCACUACUGACGCUGAGAAGCGAAAGCAUGGGGAGCAAACAGG